GCCAGGCAUGGCAGUACAUUUCGAUAAUGUCAGCUACCUGGAGGUUGAGGCUGAUGGGUCUCUUGAUCUUGGGAGUUCAGAACCCAUAGUGGACUGUGCCAAUCAGGUGUCCUAAGUUUGGCAUUACUAUUGAUGAACCCUUGGGAGUGGGUGGCUACCAGAUUACAUAAGGAGGGUUGAACUGGCCCAGGUGGGAAGCAGAGCAGGUUAAGACUCCCAUGCCAAUCAGUAGUUGGAUGAAGCUGUGAGUAGCUCCUGCACUUCCAGCCUGGGGCACACGGGGAGUCUAGUUUUA
rnacentral:SRP_RNA from 1 species